GCGGCGUCAAAGGUGAAGCAGGACAUGCCUCCGCCGGGGGGCUAUGGGCCCAUCGACUACAAACGGAACUUGCCGCGUCGAGGACUGUCGGGCUACAGCAUGCUGGCCAUAGGGAUUGGAACCCUGAUCUACGGGCACUGGAGCAUAAUGAAGUGGAACCGUGAGCGCAGGUAGGGCCCCUGGUGGGCGUUGUCUGAAAGUGCCCCCCCGGCGAGUUGUCGGGGUCCUGUAGCAUUCCGCUGUUGUCUGUGCUGGCGAGGGGUGAACGGGCCCCUUGGACUUGGCUGUGCAAUCCCAGGCCCCAGAAAGUGCAGAUCCAGACCCAGCACUUCCACUUCUAGGCUCUGUCCUCGAGAUGUCUCCAUGUCUGCAAUCCCAGCACUUUGGGAGGCCAAGGUGGGAGCAUUGCUUGAGCCCAGGAGUUCAAGACCAGCCUGGGCAACAGAGGGAAACCCUGUCCUCGCCACCCCAAAAAAUGUGUCUAGUGAGGAGGGUUGGGACCCGUGGAUCCAGAUUAGGACAGGAUAUGAGUGGGGGGCCUGCCUCGGGCCCUCUAAGCAGGAUUUUGUCAGAGGUGACCAGGCUCAAACCAGACCACACCAGGCAGUGGACACACAGGGCCAGAUGAACUAGGGCCAGGCGCCCCCCUCUCCCUGUGUCACAGGCUGGGCACUCCUUCCCCACCCCUCCCCCAACCCCAACGCAGGCCAGGCAGGACUGGGAGAUGGGGGUCAUUGCAGGGAACUUGGAAACUGCCAGAAAGCAGGGAGAAGAAAGGAAAGAUUGUGGCCCCGCCUGCCCCAGCCUCACACACUGAUUAUUUUGAGAUGAAGGGGACGUGGUUUUGUGAGGCCCAGAGCCCCGUGAUGAAGUCACCCCCUCUUCGUCGCGAUCAUCAGGCAGAGUUAUUUUUAGGAUAAAAAAAGUUUUUAAUUGAAAAGAAAGUAGAAAGCCAACAGUCUUGUGGGCAGUCACCCGUGCAGCUGCCUGCACCCGCCCUCCUCUCAGGCUCCUGGUGGGCUCUGCCCACAGCCCUUGCCCUUCCCGCGACCCUCGCCCUGCCCCCUGCCUGCCUCCCCGCCCCCCUCCGCCUCUUCCCCCAGCAGCACCCUGGCCCCUGAGGUCUGUGCUGCCUGUGCUCCCCCGACCUAGCCUGGUCUGACCUGAGUGUGGGUUUCGGGCUUUCACAGGCGCCUACAAAUCGAGGACUUCGAGGCUCGCAUCGCGCUGUUGCCACUGUUACAGGCAGAAACCGACCGGAGGUAGCACCGCAGGGGCCAAGGUUGGGAGGUCACUGGCCGGAAGGCCCCAGGCUGCAGGGCCUGACCUGCAUCCCCGAAGGUGGCCAGAAUGCACGUGGGGGCCAUCGCCCUGUGCCGUCAGCUGCAUCCUCAGGCGUGGAGACUUAGUGGAGACCCAAGGGGGCGAACCGGAAGGCUUCCUGGAGGAGGAGGCAGCACUGGGGUUGGGGCAAGAGAAAAGCUAGGAGUUGGCUGGGGGAAAAGGAGACAGGGUCGGAGGGAGGCUUGAAGGGGUGCUACUAGGGGCCCUAGGCAGGGGCCCCUCAGGGCACUGAGGCCCCACCCCCACCAUCGGCCCCAUCCCCACAGGACCUUGCAGAUGCUUCGGGAGAACCUGGAGGAGGAGGCCAUCAUCAUGAAGGACGUGCCCGACUGGAAGGUGGGGGAGUCUGUGUUCCACACAACCCGCUGGGUGCCCCCCUUGAUCGGGGAGCUGUACGGGCUGCGCACCACAGAGGAGGCUCUCCAUGCCAGCCACGGCUUCAUGUGGUACACGUAGGCCCUGUGCCCUCCGGCCACCUGGAUCCCUGCCCCUCCCCACUGGGACGGAAUAAAUGCUCUGCAGACCUGGC
rnacentral:lncRNA from 1 species